rnacentral:snRNA from 1 species
AUACUUACCUGGCAGGGGAGAUACCAUGAUCACGAAGGUGGUUUUCCCAGGGCGAGGCUUAUCCAUUGCACUCCGGAUGUGCUGACCCCUGCGAUUUCCCCAAAUGUGGGAAACUCGACUGCAUAACUUGUGGUAGUGGGGGACUGCGUUCGCGCUUUCCCCUG